GAGAACUUUCAGUUUGAGAGGUGGAAUGAUAGGGUAACGCCUUGAAACGCCUCCCUUAAUACUCCGACAUGCCUUUUCUUACGUGUUAAAAGAAAUGGUAUGAAGCUCGGUGAAGUCGGCAGAAGGAUACCGUAAGCAAGAUUGAAAAACAUGGGUCUGCACGAAAAUUUCCUAGAGGUAGGAAACGUAUCUAAUAUGCCGGAGGUCGCAAAA
rfam:Enterococcus faecalis plasmid pWZ7140, complete sequence.